GACAAUUCCUGAAUAUAUCUAUAAAAAGUGUUUCGAUGACUGGAUUAUUCAUUGGGACAAGUGUAUUGAUCCUGAAGGGGAAAUAGGAAGGAAUAGAAAGUAGUUACAGGAAGCAAUCGAAAUGAACGCAAAAAUUUGUUCUGAAAUAUUCAAUUUUCAUGAAUUCCACUAUUUAUUCCGGGAUGAAAGUGGCGUCAAAGUGCAGCACGUUUCAAGUACGAUGUGAACAAGGAUUUGGUAUCGUCUGAAACAGCGGUCAAGGUCCACUUGGGGUCUAUACCCCUAUUAAUUUAUGUUCUUAUUUAAAAUAUUCAAGAU